rnacentral:rRNA from 1 species
GGGUCAGUAGGUUGGUCGUGCCACCGGUACGUACUGGCCUCACUGAUUCCUCCUUCCUGAAGAACCGUAAUGCCAUUAAUUUGGUGUUGCGGGGAAACAGGACUGUUACUUUGAAAAAAUUAGAGUGUUUAAAGCAAGCCAACGCUUGAAUACAUUAGCAUGGAAUAAUGAAAUAGGACGAUCGAUCCUAUUUUGUUGGUUUCUAGGAUUGACGUA